rnacentral:rRNA from 1 species
CCUACGGGCGGCAGCAGUGGGGAAUAUUGCACAAUGGGGGAAACCCUGAUGCAGCAACGCCGCGUGAGUGAAGCAGUAUUUCGGUAUGUAAAGCUCUAUCAGCAGGGAAGAAGAUGACGGUACCUGAUUAAGAAGCCCCGUCUAACUACGUGCCAGCAGCCGCGGUAAUACGUAGGCGGCAAGCGUGAUCCGGAUGUACUGGGGGUAAAGGGAGCGCAGACGGUUGUGCAAGUCGGGAGUGAAAGCCCGGGGCCCAACCCCGGAAAUGCACUUGAAACUGUGCGGCUAGAGUACUGGAGGGGCAGGCGGAAUUACUGGUGUAGCGGUGAAAUGCGUAGAUAUUACGAAGAACGCCGAUGGCGAAGGCGGCCUGCUGGACAGUAACUGACGUUGAGGCUCGAAAGCGUGGGGAGCAAACAGGAUUAGAUACCCUAGUAGUC